rnacentral:rRNA from 1 species
UACGGAGGGUGCGAGCGUUAAUCGGAAUAACUGGGCGUAAAGGGCAUGUAGGUGGUGAAUUAAGUCAGAUGUGAAAGCCUUGGGCUUAACCUAAGAACAGCAUUUGAUACUGGUGAGCUAGAGUACUGUAGAGGUGGGUGGAAUUUCAGGUGUAGCGGUGAAAUGCGUAGAGAUCUGAAGGAAUAUCAGUGGCGAAGGCGACCCUCUGGACAGAUACUGACACUGAGAUGCGAAAGCGUGGGGAGCAAACAGG